GUUGGUCGAAAAUACAGAAUGAUUAACAAAACGAAUCGGCAUCACUUUUUCUUCAACGAUGAACUGUCAUCUCACACCAAAACAACCGGAUCAUAUAACUGAUUUUCCUCUAGUGGAGUUUGUGGAAUAGAUAGGUUUUUACUUUAUGAAUCUGGAAGAUUGCUACCGGCGGCAUUCCUGAACCCAAUUGGGUCCAACACGGAAGCUAAACUAGUUCAUAUGCAUCCGGACAACGUUGCCCAGAAGCAGGCACAACAAGCAAUGAAUUUCGAUACGGAACAACUGAGCAGAUGCAUAUCAGUGAAAGUUUAUUCCGUUCUGAGACAUUUCUACCAACGAAGUAAGGACACGAACGGUAUUGAAUUGAAUGAUGCUAAGCCAGAUCAACAGUGUGGGGAGACUGACGGUGUAGAUUCACCACAGGUGGAAAUUAAUCACAAACGCAAGAUGUGACAUUAUCAGAUUCUCCCAAAGUGGUUUCUUACCAGCUAUGAAUACACCCGUUCGGAUGAUGUGACUUUUUUGCUUCCAUCAACUGCAGUCAACAGCAUCGGCUUUCCCGUAGCAGUAUCCUCCAAGCCAUGGUGGCUGUUCCAGGGGACAACAUUAACAGCAGCAGCAUCUGGACCUGACCAUCGAUAGUGUUUCGAGCAACUUUCCAUAUCGGAGAUCUUGUGCUUCGCGCACAUUGAAGAAACCUCCUCAGCCACAUAUGUGUGUCAAGGAGAAAAAGGAGCUGGAUUCGAAUCGUCAAUCCAGACAACCCGAAUGCACCGAUUGCAUUAUAUAUCUUGUU